AUUGAACGCUGGCGGAAGGCCUAACACAUGCAAGUCGAGCGGAGCGGGGGACGGGGAAGGAAGGCCUAGGAAUGUGCAUGGUAGUGGGGGAUAACGUCCGGAAAUGGGCGGUAAUACCGCAUAAUCUCAGAUAAGCAUAGGUCGGAUUAGCUAGUUGGUGGGGUAAAGGCCUACCAAGGCGACGAUCCGUAACUGGUCUGAGAGGAUGAUCAGUCACACUGGAACUUAGACACGGUCCAGACUCCUACGGGAGGCAGCAGUGGGGAAUUUUGGACAAUGGGCGAAACCCUGAUCCAGCCAUCCCGCGUGUGUGAAGAAGGUCUUCGGAUUGUAAAGUACUUUAAGUUGGGAGGCGUUACCAACAGAAUAAGCACCGGCUAACUUCGUGCCAGCAGCCGCGGUAAUAC
rnacentral:rRNA from 1 species